rnacentral:rRNA from 1 species
UACGUAGGGGGCUAGCGUUGUCCGGAAUCAUUGGGCGUAAAGCGCGUGUAGGCGGUCCGGUAAGUCCGCUGUGAAAGUCGGGGGCUCAACCCUCGGAUGCCGGUGGAUACUGUCGGGCUUGAGUACGGAAGAGGCGAGUGGAAUUCCUGAUGUAGCGGUGAAAUGCGCAGAUAUCAGGAGGAACACCAAUUGCGAAGGCAGCUCGCUGGGACGUUACUGACGCUGAGACGCGAAAGCGUGGGGAGCAAACAGG